rnacentral:rRNA from 1 species
ACGGGAGGCAGCAGUGGGGAAUAUUGCACAAUGGGGGAAACCCUGAUGCAGCGACGCCGCGUGAGUGAUGAAGUAUUUCGGUAUGUAAAGCUCUAUCAGCAGGGAAGAUAAUGACGGUACCUGACUAAGAAGCACCGGCUAAAUACGUGCCAGCAGCCGCGGUAAUACGUAUGGUGCAAGCGUUAUCCGGAUUUACUGGGUGUAAAGGGUGCGUAGGUGGCAAGGCAAGUCUGAAGUGAAAAUCCGGGGCUCAACCCCGGAACUGCUUUGGAAACUGUUUAGCUGGAGUACAGGAGAGGUAAGUGGAAUUCCUAGUGUAGCGGUGAAAUGCGUAGAUAUUAGGAGGAACACCAGUGGCGAAGGCGACUUACUGGACUGCUACUGACACUGAGGCACGAAAGCGUGGGGAGCAAACAGGAUUAGAUACCCUGGUA